rnacentral:rRNA from 1 species
AUUGAACGCUAGCGGGAUGCUUUACACAUGCAAGUCGAACGAGUGGCGGACGGGUGAGUAAUAUAUCGGCACGUGCCCAGUAGCGGGGGAUAACUACUCGAAAGAGUGGCUAAUACCGCAUACCAUUCGAGCGGCCGAUAUCGGAUUAGCUAGUUGGUGGGGUAAAGGCUCACCAAGGCAACGAUCCGUAGCUGGUUUGAGAGGAAGACCAGCCACACUGGGAUUGAGACACGGCCCAGACUCCUACGGGAGGAAGCAGUGGGGAAUUUUGGACAAUGGGGGAAACCCUGAUCCAGCCAUCCCGCGUGUAUGAGAAGGCCUUCGGGUUGUAAAGUACUUUUGGCAGGGAAGCGGUAUCUGCAGAAUAAGCACCGGCUAACUACGUGCCAGCAGCCGCGGUAAUAC